GCACGGGUGAGUAACACGUGACAUAACUCUACCCUUGCGAGUGGGGGAAUAACUGAGGAGAAAUCUUAGCUAAUACCGCAUAACACCUUACGGAGUCAAAGGAGCAAUGUCGCUUGCUAGAGGGAGGUUCGCGGCCGAUUAGUUAGUUGGCGGGGUAAUGGCCCACCAAGACUAUGAUCUGGUAUCCGGCCUGAGAGGGCGCACGGACACACUGGAACUGAAACACGGUCCAGACUCCUACGGGAGGCAGCAGUGGGGAAUUUUGCGCAAUGGGGGAAACCCUGACGCAGCAACGCCGCGUGGAGGAUGAAGUCCCUCGGGGACGUAAACUCCUUUCGAUCGGGACGAUAAUGACGGUACCUGGUAAGAAGAAGCCCCGGCUAACUUCGUGCCAGCAGCCGCGGUAAUACGAGGGGGGCAAGCGUUGUUCGGAAUUAUUGGGCGUAAAGGGUGCGUAGGCGGUUUGA
rnacentral:rRNA from 1 species